rnacentral:rRNA from 1 species
AUUGAACGCUGGCGGCAUGCCUUACACAUGCAAGUCGAACGGCAGCGGGGGAGAAGCUUGCUUUUCCUGCCGGCGAGUGGCGAACGGGUGAGUAAUACAUCGGAACGUGCCCUGUAGUGGGGGAUAACUAGUCGAAAGAUUAGCUAAUACCGCAUACGACCUGAGGGUGAAAGUGGGGGACCGCAAGGCCUCAUGCUAUAGGAGCGGCCGAUGUCUGAUUAGCUAGUUGGUGGGGUAAAGGCCUACCAAGGCGACGAUCAGUAGCUGGUCUGAGAGGACGAUCAGCCAAACUGGGACUGAGACACGGCCCAGACUCCUACGGGAGGCAGCGGUGGGGAAUUUUGGACAAUGGGCGAAAGCCUGAUCCAGCAAUGCCGCGUGUGUGAAGAAGGCCUUCGGGUUGUAAAGCACUUUUGUCCGGAAAGAAAUGGCUCUGGUUAAUACCUGGGGUCGAUGACGGUACCGGAAGAAUAAGGACCGGCUAACUACGUGCCAGCCGCCGCAGUAA